GCGAAACCUCCGCAAUGCGAGCAAUCGCGACGGGGGGACCCCAAGUGCCACUCUUAACGGGGUGGCUUUUCUUAAGUGUAAAAAGCUUUUGGAAUAAGGGCUGGGUAAGACCGGUGCCAGCCGCCGCGGUAACACCGGCAGCCCAAGUGGUGGCCAUUUUUAUUGGGCCUAAAGCGUUCGUAGCCGGCCUGAUAAGUCUCUGGUGAAAUCCCGCAGCUUAACUGUGGGAAUUGCUGGAGAUACUAUCAGGCUUGAGGUCGGGAGAGGUUAGAGGUACUCCCAGGGUAGGGGUGAAAUCCUAUAAUCCUGGGAGGACCACCUGUGGCGAAGGCGUCUAACUGGAACGAACCUGACGGUGAGUAACGAAAGCCAGGGGCGCGAUCC
rnacentral:rRNA from 1 species